rnacentral:rRNA from 1 species
AUUGAACGCUGGCGGCAUGCCUUACACAUGCAAGUCGAACGGCAGCACGGGAGCAAUCCUGGUGGCGAGUGGCGAACGGGUGAGUAAUAUAUCGGAACGUGCCCAGUCGUGGGGGAUAACGUAGCGAAAGCUACGCUAAUACCGCAUACGAUCUAUGGAUGAAAGCGGGGGAUCGCAAGACCUCGCGCGAUUGGAGGGGCCGGUAUCAGAUUAGGUAGUUGGGGGGGUAAGGGCUCACCAAGCCGACGAUCUGUAGCUGGGCUGAGAGGACGGCCGGCCAGACUGGGCCUGUGACCCGGCCCAGACGCCUACGGGAGGCAGCAGUGGGGAAUUUUGGACAAUGGGCGCAAGCCUGAUCCAGCAAUGCCGCGUGCAGGAUGAAGGCCUUCGGGUUGUAAACUGCUUUUGUACGGAGCGAAAAGGCUUCCACUAAUACUGGGGGCUCAUGACGGUACCGUAAGAAUAAGCACCGGCUAACUACGUGCCAGCCGCCGCAGUAACAC